rnacentral:lncRNA from 1 species
UACUAGGAUUCCUCCUUGUAACCAACUAGGAGUCCUCCUUGUAAUCGACUAGUAAUCCCACCCCUUGGAGUAUAUAAAGAAGGGCAGGGGUCCCUAGAUCAGUAGGCCAAGACCUCAUAGAACUACAAUAGAGGAUCAAAUCCUCAACACCAAACAACACCCAAGCGCAGGGCUCAAUAUACAACACCCCAAACAGGACGUAAGGUAUUACGCUACUCUGGCAGCCCGAACUUGUAUAAAUCCAUGUCUUCUUUCCUUGCAUUUACCUUCGAGUUUCAGGUUCGACGAUUCCCCAC